rnacentral:lncRNA from 1 species
CCACUACACAAAUUAAACGAGAAGGAAACAUGAAAAAGUAAGGCCAGUGUUUUGUGCAUGUUUAUAAUAACAAGUCAGAGAGAAGAAGAACCAUAUCAAUAUAACUUUUUCUGUGGAAUAUCUGAAAAGCCAUUCUUAAUUGAUUAACAGUGAUAAAUCAGAUACAAAGAAGGGUUAAUUUCAACGCUCUCGCACACACAUCUAUAACUGGUUAUGAGGUUGAUGAAAAUGGAGUGGCAUUAUUUGCAUCUGGUUAUGAGGUUGAUGAAAAUGGAGUGGCAUUAUUUGCAUACUUCUUCAAGUUGGGUCGGAGUUUGUUAACCCAACGGAGACGGCACGACUUGCCAGUACGUUGCAAGAGACCUUUGGAUCGAAUGGAGCUCCAGUCUCUAGGGCCAUAUUUGUUGACAUGGUUUAUCAAAACCUCAUCUUCUUCUGCCUUCCAUGGCCCUUUCUUUAUCGUACCCAUAUCAUCACAUAACAUUCUCUUCCUCCCAUCCAUUCUCUAUCAACAUCAAUUCGCUCUUCACCACACACGUAUACACAUAUAUAUAAAAUAUGCAUGCAAAAAUCUUGUUUUUUUGAGAAUUUUUCGGUAGAUUUUUUGUCGCUGGAGUUCUGUCUUUCAUUUGUCAAUUUUAAAUGUUAUUGGCGUGGGGGGUGGUGUAGUGACGGUUAGGAGCGGUUAUUGGCAUUAUCUGUCCACUUUUUAAUCCACGUUCUAUUAUUCUUUUGAAUUCAAAUUCAGUCCCCGGAAUUUCAAAAUUAUGCUGGCAGCCCUGAAAAUGAAAGAAAAUAUUUAAAAGACUGAAUUGUAUUUAAUAUUUUAAAAAAUAUUCAAUUUUGUAUUUAAAGUAAAUAAUUUUAAUAUUUAACUGUUUUUUUUUUUUACAGUACUAAUUUAUUGGUUAUAUUUUAUUGGUUUAAUGACUAUUUUGAUAUUUGUAGGAUUGGAUUAUAUAUAUUAUUUGCUAAAUUGUUAGAAUAAUUAUUAAGUCUCUGAAUAAAAUAGGUUUCAUUUAUUUGGCAAUUUAAUAAGUGCUUUUAAGAUUAUAUUGUAUUCAGUUAUAGAAAUAGAAUAAGUGUACUAAGUUAAUUUUGUUCUAAAUUAUUCAUGUUCGACAAACAUUAAAAAAAAAAAGUUUUUUCUUUAUCAAACUCAUUUUUAACCACACAUUCUCAUAAUAAAAUAGUUUAUACUUAAGCUCAAAACUUUCUUCAAAAAAAACUAUUUCAAAACUUAUUUUCUUUAAAGUUUUUUUUUUUAAAAAUAGUUUUGAAUGUUGUUAAAUUAGCAAGGUUAUUUGAACGAUUUUAUCAUUCAAACUGGAGAAGACAAUCACUCAUUUACUAUGAAAAUAAGCAAUAUUUCCUUUAUAAAUAGAGAAUACUUAACCCUUGUUUGGUAUUGAUUAAAAUCUUAAUUUUAAUUUAAUUCAAAGUCAACAAUUAAUUUUAAUCACUCAUUUUAUGGGAUCCAUAAUUUUUCAACCACACAUUUCAUCAAAAUCUACUAAAAAUCUAAUUUUAAUCUCCACCAAACAGGGGUUUAUAAGUACAUUCAAGCAUGAACAUUUUUUUCCUUAAAAAAAAAAAGAAAAAAAAAUUUACUUAUAAUUAAAUUUAACUUACGUAUAAACUGAGUCAAACAUACUUUGAGACACAAAAUGUUUGGACCGUAGCCCCAUAGAAAAUUAAAUUUUUUUAGUUAAAAAAAUACAUAUAAAUCACAUUUUGACAAAAAUUACUUAUAAAAUAUGUUAAAUGUAUUAUUUAUCAAGAUGCUUAUUUUAUUUACUUUUUAUGUAAAUUCACCUACAGGUAAACUAAUUUUCUCAUUUGUGAGAGUUGAAAAUAAAUAAAAUAUUUAUUUUGAGGUAAGGCAAAGAUUAUUUUCAAAAAAAAUGUAACCUUUCCGAUUCCCUGAAAAUAAAAAAUAAUAUUAUAUUGGACAAUUUUUCCACUCAAUCACAUAAUGUACACCAUCUUUCCCACUUGCCCACAUGACAAUACACAAUUGAACAAUUUCACGCAAUCAAUUGUAUGUACAAAAAAGAGUACAAAUGACAUUAUCCAACGAAUUAAACAAUUACACUUGUAUGUAGAAUGGUUUCGACUCUUGCAGCCUAAAGGGGCUAGUGAUCGAUAUAUUAUUGAUCUCUUCAGUUAGGGAUUCGGAUUUGGGAGAAGCGUGCGAAGCGAGAACUGGAAAAAUUGUGAGAUGAAUAAGUUGAAAAUUCGGUGAAACUUAUAAUCAGUUGUAUAUACACUAGCCCAAACCUAUAUCUAGAAGGAAAAGGAAAUAUAUUGUCCUAUUAUUACAUUAAUUUCUAACGAGACUAGAAUAUAAGAUAUAUGCAUUAAUUCCUUAACUAUUGUUCUAUUUUAAAUGGUUUGCUUGUUGUCCACUUGAUCAACCCUACUGGGGUAAAAUUACAAGCUUGCAGCUCGGAAAUUCCAGCUCUCAUUUGCCUUCCAAUCAGCCAUUAAGGCAAAAUUCGAGUCCAUGAAUGGUGUCAACUCCUCAAGUGGCUCGAGUCCAUAAAUUAUGUUACUUCUGAAGAACUGGAUUGAUACUAGCACAAGCACAAAAGUAGCGUGGUGAAAAAGGUCGAUCAUUUUCUUAUAAAGCCCAUGUUCGGUUCUCGUUUUCUAAAACUCAUUUUAAUCACGCAUUUCAAGGAAUUUACAACUUUUUAUCAGCUUUUCAACUUCAUAUUUCAUCAACUUUUAUCAAAAUCUACUUUUUAGCUAAACCAAGAAAAAAAUGAGACUGUAAAUCCGGAGAAUAUCAGGAGUGAUACGAGCAAAGGCUAUAAUUUCAAGUCUAUUAAUGAACAACAAAUACAAUCGAUGAGGAUGCACUGCCAUGAAAGGCAGCAGUUGGUUUUUGUUGCAACACAAUGAACCAAAAAAAAAUUAAUAAUAAUAGCCUUUUUUCUGGCCGACUUGUCCUAUGAUCUCUUCUUAGUCUGUAUCCUCAACCCAGGGGGUGUCGUCUCCUGCACAUAUACAAGUUAAACAAUGAAGCAACAAAACAGAUGGAUAAAAAUUGACCUGGUAAUUGGUUCAUUUAUACUGUAAAAGAAAUGCUCUCGAGAAGAUUAUGGCUGUCUGCACUAAUUGAUCCCCCAUAAAUUUUGAUCACUAUGUCAAAGAACAUUAGGAUUAGCCCCUAUUUGGGCUCCAUUAAAAUGAGAUCUUGGGAGAAAAUGUGUUUUCGAAUAGUCAUUUUUUAAUGAUUGUGUGGUUAAAAAAAAAAGGAAAAGUUUUGGGUUUGUGUGUAAUAUUAUUUUGUGGGAGAACGUGCUGGUUGAAAUGAAUUUUGAAAAAAUGGAGCUCAAAGGGGCCAAGUGUGGCUCUCUCUCAGGGGAUGACAUGUUUGCGUCGCUAAGAUUUUAAAGGUGAGGAAAUAUGUGGGGAUUGAUAUAUCCACCUGUGAACAGCACUACACCCCACUUAUUCCAAGAGGCAAAAAAGGUCAAAAGAAACAAAAUGUCGUACCAAGAAUUUUGAAGCAGAAUCCUGAAGAAGUGAAAGUCUAAUCUGUUACCUUUUCGGCCGGCUUCGAUCUUCCUCGUAGUCCAUCACUACACCAUGUUCGGAAAAGAUCUCUUCAUGCCCUCGGAACUCGGCGUCGGCCUGCUUACAGUUUGUAACUUCUGCCAUAAUGUAAGUAAGACACAUCGACUAACAAUCCUGAGCAUGAUUAUAAACUAAUUCUUCAUUUUAAAAUAUUAACUGUGAAAGAUAACAAAGAAGAAAAUUGUGAUAUGGGGAUUGGUCAUCCAUUUAAUCCUCUUUCAUUUGAUUCAGAAGGCAUCAGUAAACCAGACUUACAAAAACUAUAAUACAGCAAACGUGCAAAGAACUUGCAUAAAAUAGGUCAAUCAAUAUGCUUACCUAUGAGAGAGAAUUCGGCUUAAUUAAAAAAAUUAAUUUAAAUAAACAAAUCAAAAUAGACCUGAACAUGAAACAAAAGCGCACACACAUCACAUAAGACACAGAGGGAGACUCCGCCAUGCUCCCACAUACAAUAUAACAGGUUUGAUCAUGCACACAUUUGGAUGAGGAAAUGGUUGUCGAGUUUUAAGUAACCUUUGACUAAAUUACUUUCAUUACAUCACCGCAUAGCAACUGAAAGUCAGGAGUUACACCAUGACAAUAAAACAGCAGUGUUAAAAAGAUAAGCAUGCAUAAGCUGACCUUGAAGGAUAGUGUCUUCUUCACUUCUUCCACCCUUUCUUCUACUCCCUUUCGGUGCUUCUUGUCCAUUUCACUCAUAUUAUCUGCCCAUCUGAUCUUCUCUUGAAUUGAGACAAGAAGAUUGUCUGACGUUGACAGCCUAAGAUAUGGUCAACCCAAGAAUUUAGUAAAAGAUUUAGAUACACGCGACAAACAAAAAUAAAAUAGAAAUAAAAAACAUAAAAAAAAUAAAAAAGAAGCACAACACACAUUAUACAGUGCUCUUAAAAAUCUCCAAUCUAAGGACUGUUGACCACCAGAUUAAUGCAUUUAAAUGCGUGUGAUAUUUUUAAGAGACAGGUCUCAAAUAUUUGGAAAUGUCACAAAGCAAAAAUACCCCGCAACUGUUUACUUGAGUCAUCUCUCAGACUUUAAAGAAGCUACUAAAUCUAAAAUAAAUAGUUCCACUGGUGUAGACAAAAGACUGGUCAAAAAAAUCACAAUGCUACAAACACACGCACACGCACUGUAGUAUCUCCUACAUACUAAAUAUGCUGGAACACAAAUAAGUUAAGUCAUUCCUGUAUACAAAGAUGAUACACAGGAAAAAAAUUAAGUCCUGCAUGCUAAAAUGACAUGGUAAGUCCUGCAUGCUAAAGCAGCCAAACAAGAAAUGGACAUGAGUUAUUUGAAAUGAUAAAGCACUACUACAAUAAUUAAGAAAUGAAUGAAACAUUUAACUCCCAAAACAGAGACAUUACCAGUCAGAUAUUGUCUGUAUCAUACUGCCCAAUUGUCCUGGCCUUAGAUCCCUCCCUGCAGCAAAUUGUACCUACAAGUUCACCAGAAUUAGAGUAGUUACCAAUUACCAGUUCCAACAGUCGGGUCUCCACAAGGUUAAAACAAGUGAUAAAAUUAAAGAAAGACCUCAAAACAUCUCCGCAACUGAUCCAGCUUCCCUCUGACUAUCCCCUGUGUGCAAAAGCAGCAACAGAAUCAACAUAUUUAUCAUUGCAGUUUCAUCUAAAAAGUCAAUGCCAAUCUUAUAGCAUAAGACAAUGCACAAAACAAAAGAAACCCCCCCCCCAGGGGGUCCCCCGCCGGGGGGGGGGGGGGGGGGGGGGGGGGGGGGGGGGGGGGGGGGGGGGAGGUAUUAAAUGACAGAAGUUAGUGAUGCUGCGCAAAAUAAUAAUAGGUCAAGGCAAUGAAAAGAAAACUUACCACAUACAUGCAGUCAUUAAUCAGAAAAUCUUCUAACUCACGAACAUUUUUAACAUCCAACUCCUGUAUCAAUACAUCAUAGGGCAAUACCUGGGCAAUGGCCAAAGAAAUGCUUAAGAGAACCAAACAAUUUUUGAAAUAGGAAAAUGGUUGUGAUGCCAAGUGAUAUAAUUACGAAAUUUGAAUGAUGAGGCAAAGAAUGAUCCAUAGAAAACAUAAUUACAAGGAUGACAUAUUUCACUACCAAUUCAUAUGUUCAACUGAACCUUUGUGUGCAGAAAUGUAACUAACCAGAAGCUUUCAAAUUUACCAAACAAGCACAAGCACAGAACACAUUUUUUUGCAAAAUUAAAAGGGAAAAUUUUAAUCAACUAAGUGAUAAGCCAAAAUAUUUACACAAAUUUCAUUGAAAUUUUAAAAAAGAAAUACAGAACAUGUCAAGGUAUGAUACCUUAUUUGUCUCAGCCAGGGUAAGCACAGUAAGCUGCUUCAACUUGAGGACUUGAUCAGGAACCAAUGGUGGAAGACGACUAGCAACGCCUGCAUCACAGCAUACAUUUUAGAGAAAGCCACAGAGAGAAUCUGACCUCUAUUAAACAAAAAAAAAAAAUUAUGAAUAUAUUGUAGAAGCACAUUAGCAUAUGCAUGAACAUCAAACAUAUGGAUACUUGUGAAAGAAACAUUUAGAAUAUGUUUAUGCAGGUUCAUUCUGAGACCUUUCCACCUUCAAAGAAUGGAACAAGCUUAAUAAGAGUUCUUAAACAUGAGAAAGGAAAUCUAUGAAAUCAUGGACUAGCUAGAACAAAAUCUUGAGAGAUAUAUUAACAACGACAACAUACUCCAAAAAAGAUCAGCCGGAUGAGCGGGUGUCUUGCUUGAUGUUAACACCAGGAAUCAAUAUAACAUUUCUCACACCACACAAGGCAGUAGGAUAAGUCUAUAAUUGCUAUCUACUUCAUAACUAGCCCAAUAAUUUCCGGUUCUUUUUGCAUUUUUCAUAAGAGUUUAAUUGGUCAUAAUAAUGCUGGAAACUUUGAAUCUCUUCAUAAAUUUCACAGAUUUGGAUAUAAAUCAAAAUGCAAAAAUAGAAGAGCAGGACAAACUCCAUAAUUUCAUUUAUAUACAGCAAAAAAGAUCAGACAGUCCUCAUUCAUGCUAUACAUGGAUGAUUUUCACUUUCCAGUCAGUGAAUCAGCUUAGAAUAUUCCUUCACUAAACUUUAAUUUCCAGAAGACAAGAUUCACUGGAAUCUAAAAUGUAUAGCAUCUUGUUUAAAACUAGAAGCCCAUAACAAAAUAAUUUAGAAGUUCCAACAAAAAGACAAACAGCUACUAACAUAUGUUGAAUUAUUUCUAAAAGUGUGUAUUAUAUUGGAAAUUUUACCUUGCUUGUGAAGUUAUUAAGCAACUUAUCUAAUGAAUAAUAAAAUAAUUCAAGCAAACUUAUUAUACAAGAAGUAAAAUACAUUUCUAUGCAAGUCAUCCAUAGAGAAAGAAGCUAGGUGAAGAGAUCUGAAGAUGCGUGGAAACAAUAAGUAGUGUAAAGAUAGAAAUAAGCCAAGAGUCUUGGAUAUAGAGCAAUUUUGGCAAAUAAACCCACAGCUAAGUUAUGAGCCCCACACAAAUGAGUGGUUACUUAAAUUGUAUCGGGAAUGGGUCCUGCACAAAGUAAAAAAUAAGGUAAACCCUACUUACGUGCCUUAUUUAAACCAACAAAAUUUUGUAGGUCCAUUGCCAAACAUGCUCAUAGCAUGAAGAGAUCAAAGUUGUCGCUCAAACUUUCUAUAACAGCAGAAUAACAUUAGAAACUAUUUUUGGCAGUGGUACUCAAUUCAAAGACCAACUAAUAUAUAUAAUAACAACAUUAAAAUAAAGGAACGUAAGGUUUCGCAAACUAUAUCAGCUUGGUCUCUUCUUAGUCUGUUGAAUGUAUAAAGCUUAUGAUUGGCUUUAAAACCAUUCUGAAGGAUGUUCUGGAUUAGCUUUUCAAAAUUUUUGGGAGCAAGGACCAUGUAAAUUAAGUGCAUGUGGUUCAAUAACUCCAAGUUAUUGUACUAUAAAUUUUCAUUGACACUCAUUAUGAAUUACGGAUGCCGAUGUGGUUAGGUUUCCCCAAGCUUAAAAGUUGUUAUGUAAGUACAUAAAUUAUAUUUUGGGUUUUGCGUUAGGAUAUUAAUCCAUUCACCAUGGAGAUAAAAUUCUACUCGUUCGUGUUAAGAUAAGAAAUCCAUACACGUGUGAUCCUAAAUAUAAAUAUAGGCAAAUUCACCCAAAUAAAUCUCUGAUGCGGGUCCACGUGCAUGUCUCCAUCAAUAGGCAUCAAGAGGCAUAUAAAUAAUACAUAAAGCAAUAUUGUGGUAAUGGCUUCAUUGCACGCCUUUCAGGUGCGCAAAAUAUAAACAUAAGUAAUGCUAUCAUAACAAUAUUCCACUACUAGUGAAAAUGUGGCAUCUUCACAAAAAGAAUGCCCAGAAUACAAAUACCAACUUGGGAUAGUAUAAUUCCUUUAUAUUUGGGGUCAAGAUCAUAGAUCCUGACAUGAAUAAUGCCCAGCACAGUGCAACUCUUGCCACUUUCAAGUGAAUAGAGUUGUCGCUCAUAAAAAAUAAAAAGUGAUUCAGCUCCAUUCCAGACUAGACAAUAUGACACUAGUAACUCUUGUAAUAUCAUAGUAAAAUGAAUGAAUUGGGCCAACUUCAAGCAACCUUGUGGAUACACAACCAUGAUAAAUGAUAAUACAAAAAUUAAAAUGCUUACUCUUAUACUCACUCCAUGUGCCAUGGGCAAACAUUCGAAGCAAAUCAAGAAAGGCUGCAUUCUCAGUUCCUUCGAGCUGCACAUGAAUCCAAUAGUUAAAGACGGAAAUAUAAAGAACAGAAAAAUAUGUCCCAUAUAAGCAUUAGAUGCAGAAAGAUUACCAAGCUGUAUCAAGAAAGGAAACUAAAUAUUUACUUGAGUAGCCUAUUAAAUAUUAAUGCAUAAUAUCGGUAAUAGUUGAACUCAAAACAUUGUAAACGUAAAAAUUCUUUCCCACAUAUCUGUCAAGUUAUCAUGUUCUCUUUCUUCACUCUAUUUAAUUGUCCUUGGACAUUCCCGAUACUACCUUUGGUGAGAGAGCUUUAGGCAGGUCUGUUUUGCCUUUUCUUUUGCCCUUCUGUCCUCCCCCUUGAUUCAUAUAUUUUCUGAUUUCUAAAAAGGUUAUGCCGGGUAACGAAGUGCUCUGUCUCAAUUGAGCAAGGAGUCACCUCAAGGCACUUUGAGGCAUAAACCAUGACUUAAACCAAUAAAAUAAUUUAAAAAAUUAUAUAACAGAAUUUUGGUCAUGGUAAACCAUAAAGAAAAUCCAUAAUAAAACCUCCCAAUUUUGUAAAGUUUAAUUUACAAUUCGAAACAUAAAAUAGAUAGACUGAGUAGCAAAUAAUAAAUUAACAAGCAAUACAAACAGAUAACAAUAUCACUCGCACUAGCCCACAACUAGAACUAAAAGUCAAAAACAAAUGAAAUAAGAGGCUAUUUGAGAAUUUUGCUAGCAUCAACUUUAAAGAAAGAUAACAGCUGGAAACAGAAUAAAGCAAAGGGGCAAGGCAAGAAAAGCCAUCCAAAAAGCUAAGCUAGAUAAAAAACAACCUUGCUCUGUCUCAAUUGAGCAAGGAGUCACCUCAAGGCACUUUGAAGCAUAAACCAUG